rnacentral:lncRNA from 1 species
AACAAUUCUCUUACUGCCCAACCUAUAAGGUGUAACUGAAAAAUGAAAAACUCAUCCAGCUAUCUCUGCACACACUCCCCUUUAUUAGUGGAAUAUUAAUUCCUAUUUAUUAGUGGAAUAUUAACUCCCUAUGCCAGCUAGACAAUCAUUAUUUUUCUGCAUCCCCUUUCUUAUUCUUUCUCACAUAUACUUGCCAUUGCUUAGGCCCCACCUCAUCUCUAUUUACUAAGAGAUCCCCCUCAUCACUUGUGGGGCCCAGCCCAUUCCUAUCAGAUUGUGAUUCUGUUACAGAUUGUUGCUAACAUUGCUCAGGUUGUAAUUGAUGAGAUUGGACCUUAUGAUCAUGAUUGGGUUACACGGAAACAGAUUUUCCUCCUUGUUGAUGUUGUUUCCUAUUGUAUGGUCUAUUAAGAAUCACCAUAUAGGAUUUGUCGCAUUGUAUUCAUUGACCUUCUUCUUUGCAAAUUUAGGGUCAAAUCUACCACAUUUGUUGUACUAGCAAGGACAGAGUAAAGCAGAUGUAGGGUACCCAACAAGUAUUGGGGUGAAAUUUUUUUUGAUUCUGUUGGGUGUAAUUAACAUUUUGGACUUCCUUUUUACUUUCUUGGGGCAUGGUCACUCUCUCUCUAACGGUUUCAGAUCUUCCUUUACUUUCCAAUUUUGAUCAAUGAAAAUAUGCGUCGUUCAAACAGCCGUUAUCUCUCCUGUUUUGGACGCACUUUCUCACUCUGUUGAUCGAUCAUGGCUUUUUUUGUUUGAGUGGCUUUGCUUCUUCUCCGGUGUUUGUCAAGCAAUUUAGUUCUUACUAAUAGAUUAUAAGAGUAGCUUCUAUUCCCACCGACAAUCCUUCUGGUGGUGUCCUUUUCCUACAUAUGAAUCAUAUUAGUGAUAUCUUCUUCUUCUAUUGAUGGUUAUUCUGACGGUGUCUUUCAUUUUCGUCACUCACUUUAUUUUGGCAAUUUUUCCUAGAUAGACUGGCCCCAUCUUUGUCCCAUAUGUACUGAUCUUGUCUUUCUCUCCAUGAAGCAUUCUCUCUCCUUGAAGCAUAUUCAAGUUUAAAUAUUGAGUCUCUGAUAUUAUUGGUUUGAAGCUUUUAAAUGCAGUUUUUUAGAAGAACAGACCUUACUUUGUUCAAUUGCUUGCUAUGAAUUUCUCUGCUGCUAAUGAUUAUUUCAGCUAUAUGGCUAGACUAUAUUUAUAACAAUUCUCUCCGAUUUCAACUGCACCCAGACACUCCUAUAGACAUCAAGACCAAGCUUGGAGAUUUUAAAGGUGUUCCCGUAGAUUAUCGAAGAUACCAAUGGCUGGUCGAGAAACUUAUUUAUUUGUACUACACUUGCUAGAUAUUGUCUUGAUUGUUACAAUGGUGAGUCAAUUCAUGCAUUCUUCAUAUGAAGAAAAUCUAGAGGUUGUUCAUAGGAUUAUUUGGUGCCUAAAAGGUAUAUCAGCAAAAGGUCUACUCUUUGGGAAAACUGAAAAAACAGGAUUUGAAGUGUACACAGUUGUGAAUUGAGCAGACUCUAUUACUGACAGAAGCCCAACAUCAAGAUAUUGUAUCUUUCUUCAACAAUAAUCUCAUUCUUCAACAAAAAGAUGCACAAUUGGUGCUCCAUCGCAAUCUUAAAAUUGAGGAAGAAUACUGGUACAAAAAAUCUAGGUUGAAUUGGCAUAUGCAUGGCGAUAGAAAUACUGAGUUUUUUCAUAUAAUAGCUAGAUACCGCGGUGUCAUGAAGCAAAUUUCUGUUCUAAGGCAUGGUGAAAAUCCUCUCACCAAUCCUCAGAUAUUGAGCAUCAUGUUUCUGAUUUUUACCAGACUUUGGAUGUGGCUAAGGAUACAUUCAAGGACAAAUUGACCACACUUUAUUCACAAAUUCUCCCCUGAUGGGAAAUUUUCUGCCCCGAUUGUCCAUGUUUAUGAUAUUGUCCUCAAUGUAGAUGAUACAAUUGAAAUGGGAAGAAUAAAAAAGAAACUCACUGAAGACAUUGAAAUAAAGGAUUUAGGAUCCUUGAGAUAUGUUCUUGUAUGGAGGUUGCUCGAUCGAAGAACGGAAUUAUAGUUUCACAACAAAAAUACAUUCUAGGUCUAUUGAAGGAAACAAUAACGAGUGGUUGUCAGCUGAAACCCCAUGGAUCCUAAUACAAAACUUUGGGGAGAAGGAGGUGUUCUUGUUGACACCAAAAGAUACCAAAGAUUGGUUGGUAAGUUAAUUUACUUGUCUUACACUAGACCUGACAUCACCUUCUCAGUCAUUAUUGUGAGUCAAUUUAUGCACUCUCCUUAUGAGGAAUAUCUUGAGGCAGUCUAUUUUUUAAGAAGACUUGUAAAAGAAAUGUCUAUCUUUAUGGAUGCAGACUGGGAAAGUUCAGUUAGAACAGAAUAUCGACCUCUAGAUAUUGUACCUAAUCUUGUGACAUGGAGAAGCAAAAAACAAGGAGAUGAAGCAAAAAGUAGUGCAGAAGCCAAGUUUAGGGCAAUGGCUCAAGGAAUUUGUGAAGGACUAUUACAGAGCCCUUGAAGAACUUAAGAUGAAAAUUGAGCUUCCAUUGAAAUAUAUUCUGACAGUAAAGCCGCCAUUAGCAUAGCCCACAACCUAGUUCAACAUGAUAGAACCAAACAUAUUGAAAUUGAUUGUCAUUUCAUAAAGGAGAAUUAGAUACAUGAAUCAUAUGUCUACCUUUUAUGACUUCACGUCAACACAUUGCAGAUAUCUUAACCAAGAGCUUGACCAGACUCGUCCUUGAACACUUGAUAACCAAGUAGGGCAUGAUAGAUAUCUAUCUAUACACCAACUUGAGGAGGGGUGUUGAAGAACCCUUGACUCUCUUUUUUUAAUAAUGCAACUUUUUAUUUUUAUCUUAUGAUAUGUUUUAUUUUUGUUUCCUAAAAUUGCUCCUUGAUUCAAGGAAGAGAACUCUCGUAGUCUCUCUAUUUAAACCAGCCUUAGGCUGAUGAAUAAACACAACAGCAUUACCCUACUUUUCUUACAAUAUCUUUGCACCAAUUUGAGGAGCGUGAAUAAAUUAAGAAUGUCAGGAUUUUAUUAUGACUUUAAAUAAAUUACAAAGAUAAAAUCCUAGAGUUAAUGUAAGGAUUAAUCAAAUUCUAAGUCCGGGGAUUUACCUUCCCUCUUAACCUUCCUUUUUUAUUCUUCAUGUAAGGAUUAAUCAAAUUCUAGGUCUGUGGAUUUACCUUCCUUUUUUUAUUCUUCAGGGUUCUAAUUCCUUUGAUUAAGGGAUUUUUCUCCCUGUGUUAUUUCAAUUGAACUUAUACUUCUCAACUGUUACCAAUUGAAUCAACACAGCAAAUAUUUCUACACUAUUAAAAAAAAUCUAUACAUCUAUUCUUCAACCAGAACCCACUGGGUAGCAAGACUAAAAAAACAUAUGCCACAGGAAAGAUCAUGCAGCAUUUCAAAUAUUAUAAGAUACACCAAAUUUUAUCCUUGAAUAUUCAUAUACCUUAUUGUGAAUCCCACUGUCAGAAAUAUUUACCAAUUGCAGAACACAUGCUGAAAUCUCUGCAUCGAGUAUCUCAUGUGAUUCUCCACUGUAAUAAAGAAACCAUAGAUAACUUCACAUUUAAUUUCCCAAAAGUGCUUAGUUUUCAGCAACUGUUUUAGCAAUUACCUAAAACCAGACAUCUGCUUUGUCUUGAGUAUUGCAGCAACUAUGUGUGUGAACCAAGCAAGUUUGGACUCUGUUAUAGAAAGUUCAUAACUAUCCAUGGGGAUUUGGAGAUUUGCUUCCUUCUACACAUAAAUAAAUAAAAUAUAUAGUACAAAAUCAGAAUGUUUUAUGACAAUUGUACAAAUAACCUGAAAAACUUUAUGAAGAACCGCCACUAAAAGAAUACCAUAUAGCUUUGCAUGAUAGGCUCCACUAUCUUCAUUAAGUAUGAACUGCAACCUUCAUACUGAAAUUCAACGAAUCAAUAAAGAAGUCAAAAGUAAAGACGGUUAUUCGGAGAAUAAACUCCAUGAUAUUCUAAGAAUAUAAUUUUGUAUACAUAAUAACAUGAAACUCAGGAGAAGAAUGAAAAAGCAUGAACCUGAAAUCUACAUAGGUAAGGAAAAAAUUCAAGCUGAUCUUGAAGUACUUCAACAUUGUCAAGUGGGUCUUCACCGAGUUCAUCAGAUAGUUCAGACUGUAGUAAAUGGAUGAAUAAAGGUCAAAGUGAGAAAAAUACUUGACUCACUUAUGUAUAUCUGUAAAGAGUAUAGAAGCACCUGACCUGUAAUGAAUCAAAUCUCGAUGACACAAAACAUUCUAUAACUUUAGGGACAUAUUCCUCUAGCAGGUUAGGUUUGUCACUCUUGAGAUAGCGCACAGAUGUCACUGAUUUAGACCAUAAAUUUAGAAGGUAGUAAACACUGCUGCCAGCCCACUGAGGUAAACGCCGGCAAUUCCACCUUCUUCGCAGCUAAACGAAACUCAUCUAACGGCGAGGGAACUGCUGUAAUAUUGUCUUGAACCGCCGUCAAAGCCCUCUGAAUUUCAGAACCAAUGAAGUCACGUAACGACUCAAUGCUGUCCUCCACACGUCCCAAACGCUCCUCCACUCUGGUGAUUCUUGCGUCCAUUCUGGUUAGCAUGAACGUAGCAGGUCGGACCAAUUGAUAGAGCAGAGAUAAGAUAGAAUUAGAUGAAAAGAAUUAUUGUAUUAAUUGAUAAGAAAACAGAAAAUGAUUCCAGAGCUAAUGCUCCUCAGUUAGAGAAAACAAUUCUCUUACUGCCCAACCUAUAAGGUGUAACUGAAAAAUGAAAAACCCAUCCAGCUAUCUCUGCACACACUCCCCUUUAUUAGUGGAAUAUUAAUUCCUAUUUAUUAGUGGAAUAUUAACUCCCUAUGCCAGCUAGACAAUCAUUAUUUUUCUGCAUCCCCUUUCUUAUUCUUUCUCACAUAUACUUGCCAUUGCUUAGGCC